rnacentral:rRNA from 1 species
AGAAUGAACGCUGGCGGCAUGCCUAACACAUGCAAGUCGAACGAAACCUUCGGGUUUAGUGGCGCACGGGUGCGUAACGCGUGGGAAUCUACCCCUUGGUCGAUAACAGUUGGAACGACUGCUAAUACCGGAUGAUGACGUAAGUCCAAAGAUUUAUCGCCGAGGGAUGAGCCCGCGUAGGAUUAGGUAGUUGGUGUGGUAAAGGCGCACCAAGCCGACGAUCCUUAGCUGGUCUGAGAGGAUGAUCAGCCACACUGGGACUGAGACACGGCCCAGACUCCUACGGGAGGCAGCAGUGGGGAAUAUUGGACAAUGGGCGAAAGCCUGAUCCAGCAAUGCCGCGUGAGUGAUGAAGGCCUUAGGGUUGUAAAGCUCUUUUACCCGGGAUGAUAAUGACAGUACCGGGAGAAUAAGCUCCGGCUAACUCCGUGCCAGCAGCCGC